AUGCAUCCACUGAUAGACCUGAAGCAAAAUGCAGUGGCUUCUUGGUUUGCACAGCGAUGCAAGAUCAAAUUCCUUUCUUUUUCAAUCUGCUUUUUUUUUGUGGCAGCUUGGAUUGAGUUGGGGAAGACAGUA